GCUGUGCUGGGAAGGAAGGUGCUAAUUAGUUCCUGUGUGAUUAUCUGGUUGAAGCAACUGCUUCAAGUCUCUGCAAAUCAUUCUCAGCCCUCGCCCUCUCUGGAGUGAGACUCCAGCUCUCUGUUGAUCCCUUUUGCUGGCUGCCAGCUCUGCCCGCAAAGUAGAGCCCCUUCUGCAGACAGUCCCUCUCUCUCUUACUGCCAGCAUCUGCAGGUGGCACCCUGGGGCCCAGGGCCCUGCCUCCAGCUUGUGAGCCAUCACCAGGAAGCUCUCAGAGAGGUUCCUGGAAACACUUCAAAGCCAGUCCGGAUUAUCUAAGUCUGCCUCAAAGAAAAGAACAAGCAAGGGCGGCAGGGUGUUGUGGAAAGAGCUCUCAGCUGGGGCCAAAGAACUGAAUCUACGCUGAGUUGCGUGACCUUGGAUAAACUCUGCUUCCUCUCCUUAUCUCAGUUUCCCAGAAAAAAAAAAAAGGAGUAAGUCUGUAAUCAGGGAUGGCAAAUUCCCAAUGCCAACUGUGAGGAACCGGCCACAGUUCUGCUCUGACUUGAGAAAAUAAUGAAGCCACCGCCAACCUCAGCGGGUAGACGGAGUUGAAGAGACAGACCAGUGAUGCCAGUCAGGGUUGAUGUGGGUGCUGUGUUUCCAGACAGCGCACUGUUGGUAUUUGGCAGGAAAUGGCAAAAGGUAAAACCCUGACAGGGCAGGAGUCAGAAGAAGCUACAGUCGGAACUGUAAGAGCAUCUUCUCUUGGAGCUGCAAAGACAAGAAGCCUGGGUGCGAAAUCAUUUGUUUUCUUGGAGGUCCCCUGCCUCACUGUUGAGCCUCACUGUGGCUCUUCUCUGAAUUGUCCUCACCUCCUGUCCACAACCCCACAGGUGCCUGGAGGGUCAAAGCCAUGAACAGAGG
ensembl:lncRNA